rnacentral:rRNA from 1 species
CAACGCGAAGAACCUUACCUACUCUUGACAUCCAGAGAACUUAGCAGAGAUGCUUUGGUGCCUUCGGGAACUCUGAGACAGGUGCUGCAUGGCUGUCGUCAGCUCGUGUUGUGAAAUGUUGGGUUAAGUCCCGCAACGAGCGCAACCCUUAUCCUUUGUUGCCAGCGGUUCGGCCGGGAACUCAAAGGAGACUGCCAGUGAUAAACUGGAGGAAGGUGGGGAUGACGUCAAGUCAUCAUGGCCCUUACGAGUAGGGCUACACACGUGCUACAAUGGCGUAUACAAAGAGAAGCGAACCUGCGAGGGUAAGCGGACCUCAUAAAGUACGUCGUAGUCCGGAUUGGAGUCUGCAACUCGACUCCAUGAAGUCGGAAUCGCUAGUAAUCGUAGAUCAGAAUGCUACGGUGAAUACGUUCCCGGGCCUUGUACACACCGCCCGUCACACCAUGGGAGUGGGUUGCAAAAGAAGUAGGUAGCUUAACCUUCGGGAGGGCGCUUACCACUUUGUGAUUCAUGACU